rnacentral:rRNA from 1 species
AGAGUUUGAUCCUGGCUCAGGAUGAACGCUAGCGGCAGGCUUAAUACAUGCAAGUCGAGGGGUAACAUGGUAGCAAUACUGAUGACGACCGGCAAACGGGUGAGGAACAUGUACGCAACCUUCCUUUAACUGGAGAAUAGCCCCUCGAAAGAGGGAUUAAUACUCCGUAACAUAAUGAAGUGGCAUCACUUUAUUAUUAUAGCUCCGGCGGUUAAAGAUGGGCGUGCACCUGAUUAGAUAGUUGGCGGGGUAAUGGCCCACCAAGUCUGCGAUCAGUAACUGGUGUGAGAGCACGGUCCCCCACACUGGUACUGAGACACGGACCAGACUCCUACGGGAGGCAGCAGUGAGGAAUAUUGGUCAAUGGACGCAAGUCUGAACCAGCCAUCCCGCGUGAAGGAAGACGGCCUUAUGGGUUGUAAACUUCUUUUAUGUACCAAGAAAGAUAAGUACGUGUAUUUAUUUGACGGUAGUAUAUGAAUAAGCAUCGGCUAACUCCGUGCCAGCAGCCGCGGUAAUACGGAGGAUGCGAGCGUUAUCCGGAUUUAUUGGGUUUAAAGGGUGUGUAGGCGGAUUUUUAAGUCAGUGGUGAAAUCUCUCGGCUCAACCGAGAAACUGCCAUUGAUACUGGAAGUCUUGAGUUUAGAUGAAGUAGGCGGAAUAUGUCAUGUAGCGGUGAAAUGCAUAGAUAUGACAUAGAACACCGAUAGCGAAGGCAGCUUACUAAUCUAUAACUGACGCUGAUGCACGAAAGCGUGGGUAGCAAACAGGAUUAGAUACCCUGGUAGUCCACGCUGUAAACGAUGUUCACUCGUUGUUGGCGAUACAUAGUCAGCGACUAAGCGAAAGUGAUAAGUGAACCACCUGGGGAGUACGAUCGCAAGGUUGAAACUCAAAGGAAUUGACGGGGGCCCGCACAAGCGGAGGAGCAUGUGGUUUAAUUCGAUGAUACGCGAGGAACCUUACCUGGGCUUAAAUGUAGAUUGACAGAUUGGGAAACCAGUCCUUCUUCGGACAUUUUGCAAGGUGCUGCAUGGCUGUCGUCAGCUCGUGCCGUGAGGUGUUGGGUUAAGUCCCGCAACGAGCGCAACCCCUAUCAUUAGUUGCCAUCAGGUUAAGCUGGGAACUCUAAUGAGACUGCCUACGCAAGUAGAGAGGAAGGUGGGGACGACGUCAAAUCAUCAUGGCCCUUACGUCCAGGGCUACACACGUGCUACAAUGGACGGUACAAAGGGUAGCAACACUGCGAAGUGAAGCAAAUCUCAAAAGCCGUUCUCAGUUCGGAUUGGAGUCUGCAACUCGACUCCAUGAAGCCGGAAUCGCUAGUAAUCGCGCAUCAGCUAUGGCGUGGUGAAUACGUUCCCGGGCCUUGUACACACCGCCCGUCAAGCCAUGGAAGCCGGGGGUACCUAAAGUCGUUAACCGUAAUAGGAGCUGCCUAGGGUAAACUUGGUAACUAGGGCUAAGUCGUAACAAGGUAACC